CAGAGAUGACACAGAUUCAGACAGUCCCUGAGCAUUCCUGGUGAAGCUGUACUGCAUGCAGAUGGGACAGGAUGGGAUGCCAGUGACAUGAGGCAGUACUAUGCUACCACCAGCAAUAACAGCGCAUACCAGCAGCAGCUAACAGCUCUACCCCACUAGGCCAGCUCUGAUGAUGAGCCACCAGCACAACUUUGGGUGCAAAGAUCCUCAGCUCCAUGGUCUUGAGGACUAUAUUACAACUGGUCAUGGGAGUUCAGCAUGAUUUUUCUGAAGGACUUGGAGGAAAUCAUUUAACCUCCCCUCACAAAUUUUACCCAGCUGAAAAAUGGGCGCAAUAAUAUUUUGCAGACCUGGGCAAUAAGUUUCUCAGUAGUACAGCAUGAGAGGUCUGUCCCAAACCAGUAGACAACUUCCCACCUGGUUGUAAACUCAGCAUACAGACAGCCCUACCUAAAACACAAACCUGGAGUAACAUUGCACCUCAGCCUCCUCCAACUCCCUGACUACAUAACACACUAAAAUGGAAACAGCAGCCAUGUGAACCCACAUGCAGGUAGUUUUGCAGGACUACCAGAGGACAUCAUCCCUCUCCUCAGUGUACCCUGGGAGCAUACAGGACGUUACUGUUUGGCCCAACACAAGCACUACAGUUCAUCAGAAUGCUUUUGCAAUAGGCAGAUAGGGGAGCACUUGAGGGAGGAAAGCAGAGAUGUCUGAGAGGCUAAUUGAGUGUACUAAGGAGUCCUUGGCAUAGAGGAAAAGGAGUCUUCCAAAGCUAUGAAUAAACUCUCGGCUUGGGUCAGAUUUCUUGCUGUUUCUUUUCUUUAACCACCUUUGAACUCAAAUAAAAACAGCCUUAAUGUCAGGUUUACCUUUCUGAUGUCAUAAUCUUUAUGUACUAUUGAAAAGCUUAUACUACCAGACUAGGAUUUCCUCUACUUUCUUAAACACUGGAUAUUAUCCAGAAAAAGCAUACACAUUUCCAGCCAAUUCAUCCUCAGAUCUUUCAUCUUCCGGUACUGUUGUAAUUCCAAAUAUAAGACAGAGCUCGAUACGUGAACAAGAACCUGACAGAAGCUCUUACUCCUUGCGUUUGAUUCCCAACAACAAAAACAUGCA